rnacentral:rRNA from 1 species
CCUGAACCUUGCGCCUACAGCGGUCGGAGCUGCCUAUGGCAGUGACGGCGUGCCUUUUGCAUAAUGAACCUACGAGUUACCAUCUCUGGCGAGGUUAAGCUCCACGAGGAGCGCAACCGCAGUGAAAGCGAGCCUGAACAGGGCGUCGAGUCAGAGGGGGUAGACGCGAAACCAAGUGAUCUACACUUGUCCAGGUUGAAGUCCCGGUAACACGGGAUGGAGGACCGAACCAAUAAGCGUUGAAAAGCUUCUGGAUGAGAUGAGUGUAGGAGUGAAAGGCCAAUCAAACUUGGAGAUAGCUCGUACUCCCCGAAAGGCAUUUAGGUGCCGCGUCGGAUGGUCACCGUGAGAGGUAGAGCGACCGAUAGGACAAGAGGGCUUCACCGCCUAUCGAGUCCUGACGAACUCCGAAUGCUCACGGUUAGCAGUCCGGCAGUAAGGGGGCGGGUGCUAAGGUCCGUCCCCGAGAGGAGAAGAAUCCAGACCGCCGUCUAAGGUCCCGGAAUUCUGUCUAAGUUAGUCUAACGAAGUGGGGUCUCAGUGACAGCCAGGAUGUUGGCUUGGAAGCAGCCAUUCAUUCAAAGAGUGCGUAACAGCUCACUGGUCGAGAGUCCCUGCAUGGAUAAUAAUCGGGUAUAAGGCAGAUACCGAAGGCGCGGGAUAGCAGAGAAAUGAAAAGUAUCGGUAGGGGAGCAUUCCAUAUCCGUCGAAUGGUGCGGGUAACCUAUCCUGGAGGAUAUGGAAAAGCAAAUGUAGGUAUAAGUAACGAUAAGGAGGGUAAGAUUCCCUCCCGCCGCAAGACUAAGGUUUCCCGGGCAAUGUCAAUCAUCCCGGGGUCAGUCGGGUCCUAAGUCUCAGCCGAACGGCGAGGGCGAUGGCAGACACGGUCAACAUUCCGUGACUACCGUGGGCAGCGAUGCGGAGACGGAGCAGUGAAACUUCCGCGAACCGACGGAAUGGUUCGUUAAAGAGUGUAGAUGUUGAGGACUGUAGGCAAAUCCGCAGUCCGAGUCGAACUUGAAAGUACAGGGUCCUCUUCGGAGGAACCUGAUAGCGAGGGUAAGCAUACUCCCGAGAAAAUCCGCUAAGCAAUGUCCAUGGUACCCGUACCGUAAACGGACACACGUAGUCGGGUAGAACAUACUAAGGCGUUGAGAGAUUCAUGGUUAAGGAACUAGGCAAACUGACCCCGUAACUUCGGGAUAAGGGGUCCUCGUGAUGAGCGAGGCGCAGAGAAUAGGUCCAGGCAACUGUUUAACAAAAACACAGGGCUGUGCAAACUCGAAAGAUGAGGUAUACAGCCUGACACCUGCCCGGUGCCGGAAGGUUAAGAGGAGAUGUCAACCGCAAGGCGAAGCAUUGAAUUGAAGCCCCGGUAAACGGCGGCCGUAACUAUAACGGUCCUAAGGUAGCGAAAUUCCUUGUCGGGUAAGUUCCGACCUGCACGAAUGGUGUAAUGAUCCGGACGCUGUCUCAACCAUGAGCUCAGUGAAAUUGUAGUAUCGGUGAAGAUGCCGAUUACCCGCGAUGGGACGAAAAGACCCCGUGAACCUUUACUACAGCUUAGCAUUGACCUUGGUCAUCCGAUGUGUAGGAUAGGCCGGAGGCUUCGAAGCUGCGUCGCCAGGCGUGGUGGAGCCAUCCUUGAAAUACGGCCCUUUGGCUGUCUGAAGGCUAACUCGCUAAUGCAAGGAACCUGGUUUGGUGGUUAGUUUGAACUGGG